CUAGGAGACUGCAGUAUUGCAAUAAUGAUGCUUAUGAUGUGUUCAAAAUAAAAAAGUGCAGGAGUGUGAAAUCAGGCAGUCUUGAAUUUUUUUCAAAUCUUUUUCUAACGUUAUGAUUAUUAAUUAUUUAUAUCCAAAUUUUUUACAGAGGGAUGAUCUUCUUCAGAUUCAAAGAUAUUAUGUUAUGAAGGAUUGAAGUUAAUUCUAUGAAUAGACGUAACUUUAUCCAUCCUUCAAUUAUAAAUGCAUGGCCGUCUAUAUUAAACCUUAGCCAAAAGCUUGGAACGAACAAUAAUCCCGUUCGUUUCAUUUCCUCCACAGACAUAUAUAUAAGUUUUUAAAAGUAUAUUUGAUGGGGCUAAAAACAAUAUAAUAUGUGAACUGAUAGUUCUAAUUCAUCACAGGUUGAUUGUGUCGGACCUACAGGGAUGACAUACGAUGAGCAACAACAAUCAUUCUUCCUAACUAUGACCCAUGAGUUACGAGAAUAUCAAGAACAACCUCUUGGUCUUAUUGACAUGUUCUUCUUCCCGAUAUAUACCAAGGCACACCAAUAUGCAUUGUGUGUGGACACCAGUAAAGGGAUAGUGUUUGUCAUAAUCAGUGAUGCAGAUUUUAACGAAAUGGUGUUAUUGAGACGCACGAGCUGCUGUGCGAUGUUUUUCGAAACUUGUCGACGAACUUCCUGUAUUACAACAAUGAGGCACUUAAAGCAUCGUGUGUGGCCAACUCUACAGCACAAGUGGUUAAGUUCUUUACUGCAGAUGGUAUGAAUAAAUAUGAUGGAGCCGUUUAUCUAAUGACUAUUAUGGAGUCUUUCAAGGGUGAUCCUGUAUCAGUUCGGAGAUUUGCUUUAUUGAAUGCAUCUCCACAACA